UACGUAGGCAGCGAGCGUUGUUCGGAUUUACUGGGCGUAAAGAGUGCGUAGGCGGUGCUCCAAGUCUGGUGUGAAAUCUCCCGGCUUAACCGGGAGGGUGCGCCGGAAACUGGGGUGCUGGAGUGUGGGAGAGGUAAGCGGAAUUCCCGGUGUAGCGGUGAAAUGCGUAGAUAUUGGGAGGAACACCUGCGGUGUAGACGGCUUACUGGACCAUAACUGACGCUGAGGCACGAAAGCGUGGGUAGCAAACAGG
rnacentral:rRNA from 1 species